GCAAGUCGAGCGCUCACUUCGGUGGGAGCGGCGGACGGGUUAGUAACGCGUGGGAACGUACCCUUUUCUGCAGGAUAGCCACUGGAAACGGUGAGUAAUACUGCAUACGCCCUUCGGGGGAAAGAUUUAUCGGAGAAGGAUCGGCCCGCGUUAGAUUAGAUAGUUGGUGGGGUAACGGCCUACCAAGUCUACGAUCUAUAGCUGGUUUUAGAGGAUGAUCAGCAACACUGGGACUGAGACACGGCCCAGACUCCUACGGGAGGCAGCAGUGGGGAAUCUUAGACAAUGGGCGCAAGCCUGAUCUAGCCAUGCCGCGUGAGUGAUGAAGGCCUUAGGGUCGUAAAGCUCUUUCGCCAGGGAUGAUAAUGACAGUACCUGGUAAAGAAACCCCGGCUAACUCCGUGCCAGCAGCCGCGGUAAUACGGAGGGGGUUAGCGUUGUUCGGAAUUACUGGGCGUAAAGCGCACGUAGGCGGAUCAGAAAGUAUGGGGUGAAAUCCCAGGGCUCAACCCUGGAACUGCCUCAUAAACUCCUGGUCUUGAGUUCGAGAGAGGUGAGUGGAAUUCCGAGUGUAGAGGUGAAAUUCGUAGAUAUUCGGAGGAACACCAGUGGCGAAGGCGGCUCACUGGCUCGAUACUGACGCUGAGGUGCGAAAGUGUGGGGAGCAAACAGGAUUAGAUACCCUGGUAGUCCACACCGUAAACGAUGAAUGC
rnacentral:rRNA from 1 species